AAAAAAGGCUGGUGGAGUGAGAGGAGAAAAUAGAAUGGAGCAGUGAGUGAGUGUUACACUCCCCCACCUUAUGCUUCAAUUCGUCAUCUCCAGACCGAAUGAUAUGAUGCAGCAGCAAAAAAGGGCAAGUCAAAGUGGGAGGGAGGCAUGGGAUAAACUACCCAGAGCAGCUCUUGUUAUUAUAUUCUCGAAAUCUUCCCUCAAAGAUCGCAUAUACAACCUCCCUUUGGUAUGCAAAUCCUGGUCUAAUGCCUCUCAUCACCCUCACUGUUGGGUCUCUUUUACUGUCGCUCCUCCUGUUGAUGCCUUUGUAAAAUCUUCACCAACUUUUCUAGACCCUUUUGAUGGUAGACGCAACACCGAUCCCCAUUUUGACAUUCAUGCCUUUCACUCUCUUAUCAGUAAAGCUGCUGGCGGAUCCGCCUUGACCUCUCUAUUUUUACCCUUUUCUCACUUCUCUUGAUGGUCCUUACAAUGACGAUGCCCUUCUUAAACUCAUCGCUACAUUCUGCCCCAAUUUGAAAUACCUAUCAUUUCAUGGAUCCUUCAAUGCCUCUGAAGAUGUUUUAUUGCAAGUUGUACGGAGCUUUCCAAAACUGGAGCUUGUGGACUUUUCUGAUUCACCAUACUUUACCCCUGAGAUUUUACAAGAGAUGGAGAUUUACUGUCCUAAUAUUAGAGGCAUUAGAUGAAAUGGAUUUGCGGAACCUUUUCUCUCAUCAACACUCAUAAAAUUCUUCCCAGGUUUGAAGCUUCUACACCUUUCUGAUUCAAGUAUUGGUGACAGAGACUUGCUCACCCUUGUCACUGGUAAUUCUAGACUUGACUAUUCGGAGAUUAUGCGCUGCCAAAGCUUGAUGCUCUACAUGUACAUAAUUAAGGGAGCUCAUUGUCGAAUUGCUGAAAUUCUCUAUGAUUGAGUCUCUAACUCUGCUGGUAGAUGCCUAUUGCUAUUGUACUGCAUAAUCAGGUUUGAAGGUAUCAACCAGAUUUGUAUUAUGUGGAUUAACAAACAAGUUGGUGACUAUGUACUAUUUACUGUUAUUUGCUAAAUAGAUUGUAAACUUUUAGCUUAAACAUUUUGCAUGAAUGUAGGGAACUGGUUGGGAGUUGAACAUGGUAUUUUAUUUCAAUUCCA